rnacentral:rRNA from 1 species
CCUUGUACACACCGCCCGUCACACCAUGGGAGUUUACUGCACCAGAAGCCGGUAGCCUAACCGCAAGGGGGGCGCCGUCCACGGUGUGGUCGAUGACUGGGGUG